rnacentral:rRNA from 1 species
AUGGGGCUCAGGGUUUUCUCCACGCUGGCACAGAGGAACUUGGGGUCCUUGGCGACGAGGGCGGCGACGUCGGCGCCGGAGAGGCCGAGGCCGGCGAGGAAGGCGAGGACAGCGUCGGGCUUGGAAGGGGAUUUGAGGUGGGAGAGCUUGGCGGAGGCCUUGAGGGCCUGGGGUCGGGUGAGGCCGCAGGUGGCGACGAGGUAG